rnacentral:rRNA from 1 species
UACGUAGGGGCUAGCGUUAUCCGGAUUUACUGGGCGUAAAGGGUGCGUAGGCGGUCUUUCAAGUCAGGAGUGAAAGGCUACGGCUCAACCGUAGUAAGCUCUUGAAACUGUAAGACUUGAGUGCAGGAGAGGAGAGUGGAAUUCCUAGUGUAGCGGUGAAAUGCGUAGAUAUCGGGAAGAACACCAGUGGCGAAGGCGGCUCUCUGGCCUGUAACUGACGCUGAGGCGCGAAAGCUAGGGUGGCGAACGGGAUUAGAUACCCGCGUAGUCCCU